GAUGAGCGCUGGCGGCGUGCCUAAUACAUGCAAGUCGAGCGAACAGACGAGGAGCUUGCUCCUCUGACGUUAGCGGCGGACGGGUGAGUAACACGUGGAUAACCUACCUAUAAGACUGGGAUAACUUCGGGAAACCGGAGCUAAUACCGGAUAAUAUAUUGAACCGCAUGGUUCAAUAGUGAAAGACGGUUUUGCUGUCACUUAUAGAUGGAUCCGCGCCGCAUUAGCUAGUUGGUAAGGUAACGGCUUACCAAGGCAACGAUGCGUAGCCGACCUGAGAGGGGGGUCGGCCACACUGGAACUGAGACACGGUCCAGACUCCUACGGGAGGCAGCAGAAGGGAAUCUUCCGCAAUGGGCGAAAGCCUGACGGAGCAACGCCGCGUGAGUGAUGAAGGUCUUCGGAUCGUAAAACUCUGUUAUUAGGGAAGAACAAAUGUGUAAGUAACUAUGCACGUCUUGACGGUACCUAAUCAGAAAGCCACGGCUAACUACGUG
rnacentral:rRNA from 1 species